rnacentral:tRNA from 1 species
ACUACUUUGGCAGAAGUAAAAUAGUGUAAUAGAUUUAGAAUCUAUAAAUGUAAUGUUAAUUACAAGUAGUA